CCAGGAUCCGAACCAGCAAAACCCUGGACCGCCGCAGCAGAGCACGCGAACUUAACCGCUUGGCCACAGGGCCAUCCCCAUGUUGAGUCUUAAAUCUAGGUAGCUGGAGUUUCUGCAGGCCUUUCACGCCUGAGGGUACAAAACGGUGCCCUUAAUGCCAUUAUCUCUGUGGCUGUUCCUACCUGGUCUAUACGGCACAGGGACUCCUGCCCCCUCGUGGCCAGUGUGGAUUCUGCACACUCCUAGGAGCUAAGUGACACAGAAUUCUGUUGGGUGCGGAGCAGCAUCAGGCUUGAAACCUAGAUCAGGUGUUUAUCUUGUUGACACCCAUACAGGAGUAAUAAAAAGAAGAUACACCCAUAUAUAUAUACUGGCAAAAUCCCUGAGGUCCAUGGGUCAAGGGAGAAGCAUACAAGUUUUCACACUGAAGGAAGGGGCUAUUUGCCAAAAGGAAAGCAAAUAAAACCAGCAUUAGAAUUCUCAUUUGCUACACUGAAAACUAGAAGACAGUGGAACGAUAUCUACAAACUGAAGAGAGAAACUGCAGCUAACAGCCAAGAAUCCUGUUCGCAGGCAGAAUGUUAAUUCAUCUUUUGGGGCAAAAGAAAGACAAUUUUAGACACUCAAGUGCUCAAUACAUUGCCUAUGGAUCCUAGCUGAGGAAAGUACUUAAAUUUCUCCAAUCAGCUGAUAAUUAUAUUAGAAAAGAGAUCUCAAUAUUGGGCAGAUGAAGAGUACAGUACCUCUUGUGAACAAUUAAUUCUGUAAUACAUAUAUCAACGGAUAAUUUAUUCAUUCAACAAUUUGAGCGCCAUGCUCAGCAGCAACUCUUGGAGCUGAUAGUAUGUUAUAAUAUUAAUGAGAUAAGAAAUACAUGAUGUAAAUGUUUAGUAAGGAGUUGUCAAAUGCAAGAUACACUUUAGAGCAGCUGGGCAGGAAGAGCCAAUGGGAAAAUGAGGAAGUAAAAUUACAAUUUCUAAAAUUUUCCUCUAGGUGAAGGGGUGGGGGUGUUAGUGGGUAAAAUGUUUUGAGAAACAUAUUUCUUGAUCAAUUUUGAAAUGUUACUAGAGGAAUACAGAUUUCAUCAUAACUAUUAGGUAUGAAAAUGGAAACACCAGCAUCAUGGAGACAAAUGUUAGAACUGCCAAAUUAACAGGAGGGCAAAAAAGGAAUGAAGAGAAACUUUUCCAAGCCAAUUCAAAGAAAAAGAAUCAACAAGAUAAGAUAUAAAAUAAACAGAAAUAAAUGGAUAGAAUAAAGCACAAGAUUCUAGUUCAAUAAUAAUUGCAUAAGAACUCAAUUCUCCUAUUUAAAAAAACAAAGACAACAGAUUGAGUUUUUAAAAAUCUACCUAUUGGGGCCGGCCCCGUGGCCGAGUGGUUAAGUUCUCGCGCUCUACUGCAGUGGCCCAGGAUCUCGCCGGUUCAAAUCCUGGGCGCAGACAUGGCACCAGUCGUCAGGCCACGUUGAGGAGGAGUCCCACAUGCCACAACUAGGAGGACUCACAACUGAAAAUACACAACUAUGUACCAGGGGGGAUUUGGGGAGAUAAAGCAGGAAAAAAAAAAAAGGAUUGGCAACAGUUGUUAGCUCAGGUGCCAAUCUUUAAAAAAAAAAAAAAAAUCUACGUAUUAUUUGCAUUGGAAAGUGUUAAAGAAGAGUUGAAAACAAAGGAAUGGGUAGAUAUAGAUUGUAUAAAUACAAACAAAAAGAAAGCAGGAACGGGAUAUUAUCAUCAGAUAAAAUUGAAAUCAAGGCCACAUACAUGAAAAAGUACAAAAAGG
ensembl:lncRNA